rnacentral:rRNA from 1 species
UGAGUAACCUGCCCUUAACUCUGGGAUAAGCCUGGGAAACUGGGUCUAAUACCGGAUAUGACUCCUCAUAGCAUGGUGGGGGGUGGAAAGCUUUUUGUGGUUUUGGAUGGACUCGCGGCCUAUCAGCUUGUUGGUGAGGUAAUGGCUCACCAAGGCGACGACGGGUAGCCGGCCUGAGAGGGUGACCGGCCGCACUGGGACUGAGACACGGCCCAGACUCCUACGGGAGGCAG